CAUAUGGAUUGUGUCAGCAGCCGCGCGGUAAUACGGGAGUGGCAAGCGUUAUCCGGAAUUAUUGGGCGUAAAGCGUCCGCAGGCGGCCCUUCAAGUCUGCUGUUAAAAAGUGGAGCUUAACUCCAUCAUGGCAGUGGAAACUGUUGGGCUUGAGUGUGGUAGGGGCAGAGGGAAUUCCCGGUGUAGCGGUGAAAUGCGUAGAUAUCGGGAAGAACACCAGUGGCGAAGGCGCUCUGCUGGGCCAUCACUGACGCUCAUGGACGAAAGCCAGGGGAGCGAAAGGGAUUAGAUACCCCUGUAGUCCUGGCCGUAAACGAUGAACACUAGGUGUCGGGGGAAUCGACCCCCUCGGUGUCGUAGCCAACGCGUUAAGUGUUCCGCCUGGGGAGUACGCACGCAAGUGUGAAACUCAAAGGAAUUGACGGGGGCCCGCACAAGCGGUGGAGUAUGUGGUUUAAUUCGAUGCAACGCGAAGAACCUUACCAGGGUUUGACAUCCUGCGAAUCUCUUGGAAACAGGAGAGUGCCUUCGGGAACGCAGUGACAGGUGGUGCAUGGCUGUCGUCAGCUCGUGUCGUGAGAUGUUGGGUUAAGUCCCGCAACGAGCGCAACCCACGUCUUUAGUUGCCAGCAUUUAGUUGGGCACUCUAGAGAGACUGCCGGUGAUAAACCGGAGGAAGGUGUGGAUGACGUCAAGUCAUCAUGCCCCUUACAUCCUGGGCUACACACGUACUACAAUGCUACGGACAAAGGGCAGCAAGUUCGCGAGGACAAGCAAAUCCCAUAAACCGUGGCUCAGUUCAGAUCGUAGGCUGCAACUCGCCUACGUGAAGGCGGAAUCGCUAGUAAUCGCAGGUCAGCAUACUGCGGUGAAUACGUUCCCGGGCCUUGCACACACCGCCCGUCA
rnacentral:rRNA from 1 species